rnacentral:tRNA from 1 species
ACCUGGCUAGCUUGGUCGGUAGAGCAUGAGACUCUUGAUCUCAGGGGUGUGAGUUUGAGCCCCACGUUGGGUG